UGCGUAGGCGGAAGAUUAAGUCAGUGGUGAAAUCCUGCAGCUCAACUGUAGAACUGUCAUUGAUACUGAUUUUCUUGAAUACAGUUGAGGUAGGCGGAAUAUGUAAUGUAGCGGUGAAAUGCUUAGAUAUUACAUAGAACACCGAUUGCGAAGGCAGCUUACUAAACUGUGAUUGACGCUGAGGCACGAAAGCGUGGGGAGCGAACAGGAUUAGAUACCCUGGUAGUCC
rnacentral:rRNA from 1 species